rnacentral:lncRNA from 1 species
AGGACGAAGAUAAGAUAAAUUAUAUUCUGAAGCAUACCUACCUGAUAACAACACAGUAUCGUCAUAUCCUUGUGGAUGAAGCCCAAGAUCUCCCCGGCAAUUGGCUUUCAUUGCUGUAUGCAAUGUUAGAAGAAUGUGAGGAAUCUAACAUGUGGAUCUUCGAAGACCCGUUUCAGGUGGUAAGGAGAAACACAACAAGACAAGAGAAUGGAAAUUUUACCAAGUAUUCUUUAACAAAGGUGUUUAGGAAUACACAUAACGUCUUUGAAGCAUAUCAACACUGCUACAGAAGUUUGCGCGAGCAAGUUACCGCGACCGAAGAAUCAUUCUCUGAGGAGGAAUUGUCUCAACCAUGUAUAGAUCAUGAUGUUUAUGGUUUAUCUCCUGACUACAUCCGCGGAGAAAAUGAUGAUCAGCUCGGAGAUGCAUUAGUCUCUACAAUUAAAGUAUUGCUAAGUAAGAGGGUUCCAUUCUCUGAUGUUGCUGUCGUAACAUGUAGCACCGAAGUAAACCACGUCUGUAAAGUCUUAGAGAAUGAAAAUAUCAUGUGGAAAGAUGCGGACGGACGACGCACUUCUUCUCAACAAAAUAGAGAUAAUCACCCUCCAGUCAUCGUUGAUUCUUAUCAGCGUUUCAAAGGACUUGAAGUUAAAGUCUUAAUAUUUUUUAUACCAAGUGGCUGGGAACCACGACCCAUGGACAUCUAUGUUGGGUUUUCCCGAUCAUUUUGUCACCUUGUUGUAAUUGGAAACAGCAGAAUGAUCAACAAAAUCAAGCAAGACCAAGGUGAUUGAAUGCAGGAAAACGUUUUACUCAUAAUUUUACAGUUUUACAUAUUACUCAUUAUUGAACAAUAUGAACUAUUAACGGAAGAACAAUAACUGCUAUACAGUAAUUAAAAACAAUGUAGUAUACAUGUUAAUUUACUGACAUUGCUUUUGUUAUGGAUGAGGUCCAGUUAAAAUUGACUCAUAUUUUACAUGUUUUGGGGUACCCUACCCUGGGUUCAGAGGUUUUCUAGUGUCAGGCGAGAGGUUUCCAAGCUUAGCCAGCACCGCCUGAGUGUAGGCUACAGCUUCGGUGAAACAGGAAACCUACUGAUCCCCAGGGUAGGGGUAACCCCCCCCCCCC